rnacentral:rRNA from 1 species
AUUGAACGCUGGCGGCGUGCUUAACACAUGCAAGUCGUGCGGUAACAGGCGUAGCAAUACGUGCUGACGAGCGGCGAACGGGUGCGUAAUACAUGGGAAUCUGCCCUUUAGUGGGGAAUAACCCGGCGAAAGCCGGGCUAAUGCCGCAUAAGAUCUUCGGAUGAAAGCGGGGGAUCGUAAGACCUCGCGCUGUUGGAUGAGCCCAUGUCGGAUUAGCUAGUGGUGAGGUAACGGCUCACCAAGGCGACGAUCCGUAGCUGGUCUGAGAGGACGGCCAGCCACACUGGGACUGAGACACGGCCCAGACUCCUACGGGAGGCAGCAGUGGGAAUAUUGGACAAGUGGGGAAACCCUGAUCCAGCGACGCCGCGUGUGUGAAGAAGGCCU